rnacentral:rRNA from 1 species
GUCGUACAGGUCUCCGUAGGUGAACCUGCGGAGGGAUCAUUACACAAAUAUGAAGGCGGGCUGGAACCUCUCGGGGUUACAGCCUUGCUGAAUUGUUCACCCUUGUCUUUUGCGUACUUCUUGUUUCCUUGGUGGGUUCGCCCACCACUAGGACAAACAUAAACCUUUUGUAAUUGCAAUCAGCGUCAGUAACAAAUUAAUAAUUACAACUUUCAACAACGGAUCUCUUGGUUCUGGCAUCGAUGAAGAACGCAGCGAAAUGCGAUAAGUAGUGUGAAUUGCAGAAUUCAGUGAAUCAUCGAAUCUUUGAACGCACAUUGCGCCCUUUGGUAUUCCAAAGGGCAUGCCUGUUCGAGCGUCAUUUGUACCCUCAAGCUUUGCUUGGUGUUGGGCGUCUUGUCUCUAGCUUUGCUGGAGACUCGCCUUAAAGUAAUUGGCAGCCGGCCUACUGGUUUCGGAGCGCAGCACAAGUCGCACUCUCUAUCAGCAAAGGUCUAGCAUCCAUUAAGCCUUUUUUUCAACUUUUGACCUCGGAUCAGGUAGGGAUACCCGCUGAACUUAAGCAUAUC